GGGUGUAUAGCUUAGUUGGUAAAAAGCAGUAAACUUUUAAUUUAUGGAUCUUAGGUUCAAAUCCUAAUACACUCA
rnacentral:tRNA from 1 species